GCCUGGGUGGCUCAGUCAGUUAAGCAUCAGACUCUUGGUUUCGGCCCAGGUUAUGAUCUCACGGUUCGUGGGUUCGAGCCCCACAUCAGGCU
rnacentral:tRNA from 1 species